rnacentral:rRNA from 1 species
UGCCUAACACAUGCAAGUCGAGCGAGAAAGCCCUUCGGGGGUGAGUAUAUCGGCGGACGGGUGAGUAACGCGUAGGAAUCUACCUGGUAGUGGGGGACAACAUGUGGAAACGCAUGCUAAUACCGCAUACGACCUAAGGGUGAAAGUGGGGGACCUUCGGGCCUCACGCUACCAGAUGAGCCUGCGUAAGAUUAGCUAGUUGGUGGGGUAAAGGCUCACCAAGGCGACGAUCUUUAGCUGGUCUGAGAGGAUGAUCAGCCACACUGGGACUGAGACACGGCCCAGACUCCUACGGGAGGCAGCAGUGGGGAAUAUUGCGCAAUGGAGGCAACUCUGACGCAGCCAUGCCGCGUGUGUGAAGAAGGCCCUAGGGUUGU